GACGAACGCUGGCGGCGUGCUUAACACAUGCAAGUCGAACGGAAAGGCCCUGCUUUUGUGGGGUGCUCGAGUGGCGAACGGGUGAGUAACACGUGAGUAACCUGCCCUUGACUUUGGGAUAACUUCAGGAAACUGGGGCUAAUACCGGAUAGGAGCUCCUGCUGCAUGGUGGGGGUUGGAAAGUUUCGGCGGUUGGGGAUGGGCUCGCGGCUUAUCAGCUUGUUGGUGGGGUAGUGGCUUACCAAGGCUUUGACGGGUAGCCGGCCUGAGAGGGUGACCGGCCACAUUGGGACGGAGAUACGGCCCAGACUCCUACGGGAGGCAGCAGUGGGGAAUAUUGCACAAUGGGCGGAAGCCUGAUGCAGCAACGCCGCGGGCGGGAUGACGGCCUUCGGGUUGUAAUCCGCUUUCGCCUGUGACGAAGCGUGAGUGACGGUAAUGGGUAAAGAAGCACCGGCUAACUACGUG
rnacentral:rRNA from 1 species